AGCGAACGCUGGCGGCAGGCUUAACACAUGCAAGUCGAGCGAACAGAUGAAGUGCUUGCACUUCUGACGUUAGCGGCGAACGGGUGAGUAACACGUAAGGAAUCUACCUAUAAGCGGGGGAUAACAUUCGGAAACGGGUGCUAAUACCGCAUAAUAUCUUCUUCCGCAUGGAAGAAGAUUGAAAGACGGCUCUGCUGUCACUUAUAGAUGACCUUGCGGUGCAUUAGUUAGUUGGUGGGGUAACGGCCUACCAAGACGAUGAUGCAUAGCCGACCUGAGAGGGUGAUCGGCCACAUUGGGACUGAGACACGGCCCAAACUCCUACGGGAGGCAGCAGUAGGGAAUCUUCCGCAAUGGGCGAAAGCCUGACGGAGCAAUGCCGCGUGAGUGAAGAAGGCCUUCGGGUCGUAAAACUCUGUUAUAAGAGAAGAACAAAUUGUAGAGUAACUGCUACAGUCUUGACGGUAUCUUAUCAGAAAGCCACGGCUAACUACGUGCCAGCCGCCGCGGUAA
rnacentral:rRNA from 1 species